rnacentral:rRNA from 6 species
UGUAUUAAAACUUUCAACAACGGAUCUCUUGGCUCUAGCAUCGAUGAAGAACGCAGCGAAAUGCGAUAAGUAAUGUGAAUUGCAGAAUUCAGUGAAUCAUCGAAUCUUUGAACGCACAUUGCGCCCAGCAGUACUCUGCUGGGCAUGCCUGUCCGAGCGUCAUUUCACCACUCAAGCUCUGCUU